rnacentral:tRNA from 2 species
GGCCCUGUGGCGCAACUGGAUAGCGCAUCUCACUACGAAUGAGAAGGUUACUGGUUCGAAUCCAGUCAGGGUCA